rnacentral:rRNA from 1 species
UGAGGAACAUGACCUUCGGCGGGGGAUAGCCGGCCCAACGGCCGGGUAAUACCGCGUACGACCAUUUGGGGACAUCCCUGGGUGGUGAAAGCAGCAAUGCGCCGAUGGAGUGCCUCGCGGCCUAUCAGCUAGUUGGUGAGGUAACGCUCACCAAGGCAACGACGGGUAGCUGGUCUGAGAGGAUGGCCAGCCACAUUGGGACUGAGACACGGCCCAGACUCCGUACGGGAGCAG